rnacentral:rRNA from 1 species
AUACGUAGGGGGCAAGCGUUGUCCGGAAUUAUUGGGCGUAAAGCGCGCGCAGGCGGCCUUUUAAGUCUGGGGUAUAAUCCCGGGGCUCAACCCCGGUUCGCCUUGGAAACUGGGAGGCUUGAGUGCAGGAGAGGGAAGUGGAAUUCCACGUGUAGCGGUGAUAUGCGUAGAGAUGUGGAGGAACACCAGUGGCGAAGGCGACUUCCUGGCCUGUAACUGACGCUGAGGCGCGAAAGCGUGGGGAGCGAACAGGAUUAGAUACCCUGGUAGUCCACGCCGUAAACGAUGAGUGCUAGGUGUUGGGGGCUUCGAUACCCUCGGUGCCGAAGUCAACACAGUAAGCACUCCGCCUGGGGAGUACGUUCGCAAGAAUGAA